AGCGAACGUUUGCGGCGGGCUUAACACAUGCAAGUCGAACGAGAAUCCCUUCGGGGAGGAAAGUGGCGCACGGGUGCGUAACACGUGGAUAACCAACCCAUUGGUUUGGGACAACACCGGGAAACUGGUGCUAAUACCAGAUGUGUCGCAGCUGUCUUCAGGCGGUUGCGAGAAAGGCCCGCAAGGGUCGCCAACGGACGGGUCCGCGUCCCAUCAGCUAGUUGGUGAGGUAAUGGCUCACCAAGGCAAAGACGGGUAGCUGGUCUGAGAGGAUGAUCAGCCACACUGGAACUGAGACACGGUCCAGACUCCUACGGGAGGCAGCAGUGGGGAAUAUUGCGCAAUGGGCGAAAGCCUGACGCAGCCACGCCGCGUGAGCGAUGAAGGUCUUCGGAUCGUAAAGCUCUGUGGGGGGAGAAGAAGAAAGCCGGUGAAGAGCCGGCCCUGACGGUAUCCCCUUAGCAAGCACCGGCUAACUCCGUGCCAGCAGCCGCGGUAAA
rnacentral:rRNA from 1 species